GAUGUCGGAAAACUUUGAAAGUUUUCCCUCGUUUUACCAGAGCAUGUUCUAUAUUUCUGGCGUUUUAAAGAUCUUUCUUGUCAUUUUUCCGACGUAAGCUCACUUUUCUUGAAGGCUCGAGGCAGGAUAAGAUGCAGAAGUGUACAGAGACUUGGAUUAUAGGAAGUCUUGUUUACUUCUCACAUGGAGCAAACAAAGCUAAAAUGAUGAUAAAAAGGAAACAGACAGAAGGUUGAUGUUUUUGAUCCUCUAGGAGGAAAUGGCAAUGAAUUAUUCAGGAAGGUGAAAGACUUCUAGAGAAGUAGAGCCCAAUCCUGCAAUAGCCACUCUGUACCUUAAGCUUCUUCCAACAAGAGCAUGAGAGAAUUUGGUAUUAUGGGAGUUAAAGGGUUAAACUGUUGUAAACCACCUUAAAUCUCUUUUUGUUGUUGUUUAGGAGUACCUUAUUAUAGGAAAUUAACAAUGAACUUCUUAAAUGCGGUUUUAAUUGAAUUGCAUUCAACACCCAACACCCAACAAAUCUCCUCCUUAGUUGUAAUCUGUGAUGCAAAAUAUAGGUUCUACAGAAAGAAAGGAAUAGGAAAUGUAGUGAGUGUGUGAAAUGUUUCGGUCAUUGGACUGUCUUUAUACGCUGAACAGAAAGUGGACUUUAUACAAGAGAUGUUUGACUAAAGGUGACCCUUGAAGGAGUCAGACUGUCACCCAACAAAUCUCUUCCUUAGUCUUAAUCUGUGAUGCAAAGACUUGGUCCCACAAAAAAGAGGAAAAGGAAUUGCAGUGAGUGAGUUAAAUGUUUUGGGCACUGGACUAUCUUAAUGCACUGAACAGAGGGUGGACUUUGUACAAGAGAUGGGUGACUAAGAGCUGACCCUUAAAGAAGUCAGACUGUCACCCAAAAAAUCUCUUCCUUAGUCUUAAAUCUGUGAUGCAAAGACUUGGUCCCAUAGAAAAGAGGAAAAGGAAUUGCAGUGAGUGAGUUGAAUGUUUUGGCCACUGGACUGUCUUAAUGCGCUGAACAGAGGGUGGACUUUGUACAAGAGAUAGGUGACUAAAAGCUGAGCCACGAAGGAGUCAGAAUAUCACCCAACAAAUCUCUUCCUUAGUCUUAAUCUGUGAUGCAAAGACUUGGUCCCACAAAAAAGAGGAAAAGGAAAUGUAUUGAGCGUGUCAAAUGUUUUGGCCACUGGACUGUCUUUUUACGCUGAACAGAGAGAGGACUUUGUACAAGAGAUGGUUAACUAAAGAUGACCCUUAAAGGAGUCAGAAUGUCACCCAACAAAUCUCUUCCUUAGUCUUAAUCUGUGAUGCAAAGACUUGGUCUCACAAAAAAGAGGAAAAGGAAUUGCAGUGAGUGAGUUAAAUGUUUUGGCCACUGGACUGUCUUUAUACGCUGAACAGAGAGUGGACUUUGUACAAGAGAUAGGUGACUAAAAGCUGAUGCUCAAAGGAGUCAGACUGUCACCCAAAAAAUCCCUUCCUUAGUCUUAAAUCUGUGAUGCAAAGACUUGGUCCCCCCAAAGAAGAGAAAAAGGAAUUGCAGUGAGUGAAUUUAAAUGUUUUGGCCACUGGACUGUCUUUAUGCGCUGAACAGAGGGUGGACUUUGUGCAAGAGAUGGGUGACUAAAAGCUGACCCAAAAAGGAGUCAGACUAUCACCCAACAAAUCUCCUCCUUAGUCUUAAUCUGUGAUGCAAAGACUAGGUUCCACAGAAAAAAAGGAAGAAGAAAUGUAGCGAGUGUGUGAAAUGUUUCGGCUACUGGACUGUCUUUAUGCGCUGAACAAAGAGUGGACUUUAUACAAGAGAUGGUUGACUAAAGGUGACCCUCAAAGGAGUCAGACUGUCACCCAGCAAAUCUCUUCCUUAGUCUUAAUCUGUGAUGCAAAGGCUUGGUCCCACAAAAAAGAGGAAAAGGAAUUGCAGUGAGUGAGUUGAAUUUUUCAGCCUCUGAACUGUCUCUAUACGCUGAACAGAGAGUGGACUUUGUGCAAGAGAUUGGUGACUAAAGGUUGAUCCACAAAGGCGCAGUUAGUUUCACCAAAUAAGCAUAUCAAAAAAGAUUAGAAGAUUACCCCUUUUUAAAAAUUGCGUCACGCGUCAAUAGUUAUGGAGUUGUCAAAGAUUUUCUUUUUAAAAACGUUGGUUAAUUUUUUAUUCUUUCAUUCUUGACACAGGACCCAAGGAAGAGUCCAAAUAUCGUCUAUAUUCAAACGUCUUGAAUCGUAACGGAUAACUGGACGCUGAUCAACUUCAGGAGAUGCUAAUGGUAAAACAGAUUUCAAAAGAAGGACGGAUAAACGUGAAAAAUGACCACAUCAAGGAAAAAUGUCACCCUUGGAAGGAACCAAAAAUUGGGGGUCGAUCCGCCACCGUCCCCCACCACACCCACCUCUUAUAAACAGUUUUUUAAAUAUUGAUAAAAGUUGUCUACUUUGUGGUAACAACAUCUUUUAA